rnacentral:rRNA from 1 species
GAUGAACGCUGGCGGCGUGCCUAAUACAUGCAAGUCGAGCGAACGGACGAGAAGCUUGCUUCUCUGAUGUUAGCGGCGGACGGGUGAGUAACACGUGGAUAACCUACCUAUAAGACUGGGAUAACUUCGGGAAACCGGAGCUAAUACCGGAUAAUACUUUGAACCGCAUGGUUCAAAAGUGAAAGACGGUCUUGCUGUCACUUAUAGAUGGAUCCGCGCUGCAUUAGCUAGUUGGUAAGGUAACGGCUUACCAAGGCAACGAUGCAUAGCCGACCUGAGAGGGUGAUCGGCCACACUGGAACUGAGACACGGUCCAGACUCCUACGGGAGGCAGCAGUAGGGAAUCUUCCGCAAUGGGCGAAAGCCUGACGGAGCAACGCCGCGUGAGUGAUGAAGGUCUUCGGAUCGUAAAACUCUGUUAUUAGGGAAGAACAUAUGUGUAAGUAACUGUGCACAUCUUGACGGUACCUAAUCAGAAAGCCACGGCUAACUACGUGCCAGCAGCCGCGGUAAUACGUAGGUGGCAAGCGUUAUCCGGAAUUAUUGGGCGUAAAGCGCGCGUAGCGGUUUUUUAAGUCUGAUGUGAAAGCCCACGGCUCACCGUGGAGGGUCAUUGGAAACUGGAAAACUUGAGUGCAGAAGAGGAAAGUGGAAUUCCAUGUGUAGCGGUGAAAUGCGCAGAGAUAUGGAGGGACACCAGUGGCGAAGGCGACUUUCUGGUCUGUAACUGACGCUGAUGUGCGAAAGCGUGGGGAUCAAACAGGAUUAGAUACCCUGGUAGUCCACGCCGUAAACGAUGAGUGCUAAGUGUUAGGGGGUUUCCGCCCCUUAGUGCUGCAGCUAACGCACUAAGCACUCCGCCUGGGGAGUACGACCGCAAGGUUGAAACUCAAAGGAAUUGACGGGGACCCGCACAAGCGGUGGAGCAUGUGGUUUAAUUCGAAGCAACGCGAAGAACCUUACCAAAUCUUGACAUCCUUUGACAACUCUAGAGAUAGAGCCUUCCCCUUCGGGGGACAAAGUGACAGGUGGUGCAUGGUUGUCGUCAGCUCGUGUCGUGAGAUGUUGGGUUAAGUCCCGCAACGAGCGCAACCCUUAAGCUUAGUUGCCAUCAUUAAGUUGGGCACUCUAAGUUGACUGCCGGUGACAAACCGGAGGAAGGUGGGGAUGACGUCAAAUCAUCAUGCCCCUUAUGAUUUGGGCUACACACGUGCUACAAUGGACAAUACAAAGGGCAGCGAAACCGCGAGGUCAAGCAAAUCCCAUAAAGUUGUUCUCAGUUCGGAUUGUAGUCUGCAACUCGACUACAUGAAGCUGGAAUCGCUAGUAAUCGUAGAUCAGCAUGCUACGGUGAAUACGUUCCCGGGUCU